rnacentral:rRNA from 1 species
GCAAUCUACCUUUCACAGAGGGAUAGCCCAGAGAAAUUUGGAUUAAUACCUCAUAGUAUUAUGAAGUGGCAUCACUUUAUAAUUAAAGUCACAACGGUGAAAGAUGAGCAUGCGUCCCAUUAGCUAGUUGGUAAGGUAACGGUUUACCAAGGCUACGAUGGGUAGGGGUCCUGAGAGGGAGAUCCCCCACACUGGUACUGAGACACGGACCAGACUCCUAUGGGAGGCAGCAGUGAGGAAUAUUGGUCAAUGGGCGCAAGCCUGAACCAGCCAUGCCGCGUGCAGGAUGACGGUCCUAUGGAUUGUAAACUGCUUUUGUACAGGAAGAAACAGUUCUACGUGUAGAACCUUGACGGUACUGUAAGAAUAAGGAUUGGCUAACUCCGUGCCAGCAGCCGCGGUAAUACGGAGGAUCCAAGCGUUAUCCGGAAUCAUUGGGUUUAAAGGGUCCGUAGGCGGUUUAGUAAGUCAGUGGUGAAAGCCCAUCGCUCAACGGUGGAACGGCCAUUGAUACUGCUAGACUUGAAUUAUUAGGAAGUAACUAGAAUAUGUAGUGUAGCGGUGAAAUGCUUAGAGAUUACAUGGAAUACCAAUUGCGAAGGCAGGUUACUACUAAUGGAUUGACGCUGAUGGACGAAAGCGUGGGUAGCGAACAGGAUUAGAUACCCUGGUAGUCCACGCCGUAAACGAUGGAUACUAGCUGUUGGGAGCGAUCUCAGUGGCUAAGCGAAAGUGAUAAGUAUCCCACCUGGGGAGUACGUUCGCAAGAAUGAAACUCAAAGGAAUUGACGGGGGCCCGCACAAGCGGUGGAGCAUGUGGUUUAAUUCGAUG